GCAAUUGAAUGUUCGCGAAGGUAUGGGAUUAGAUUUAUCUAGCUUCCACUAAAAAUGAAAUGUAUCUAUUCAUAUUAUCGCUAUCUAAGUACAAACUCCUCAUUUAAGUGUCCGUUCGAAAUUUGACCUUGUCAAAUACUCAAUACGGAUCCUUCAACAAUCUGAAUAUUUUUGUUAUUCAUAUUCGAUACCUAAUAUUCGCUACGAACUCUGAUUCGACGCUCGAUUUUUGAUGAGUCAAUGACGACGUAUGUAAUAUGUACAAUUUGUGUGGAAAGAUAAAUUUUGAAAUACAUUUAUUCAUUACAAACAAAUCGUUUACAUUUUAUCCAUGAGAUAAACUGAUACUGGGACCAAUCAACAUUAGACCGAUUAACUGCAUUGUCAACUGCUUCAGUAUAGGUAUAAGAAAUGUAAAACUGUGCUUCGGCUCCAAUGUUGUUUAGAUAAUGAACGAUACAUAAAAUACCUACUGCAAUUAUUUGUG